GACGAACGCUGGCGGCGUGCUUAACACAUGCAAGUCGAACGGAAAGGCCUGCUUUCCCUUGUGGAUUGCGGGUACUCGAGUGGCGAACGGUGAGUAACACGUGAGUGAUCUGCCCCCAACUUGGGUAUAAGCCUGGGAAACUGGGUCUAAUUCCCGAUAGGACUGCAGGGUGGUGCCUGUGGUGGAAAACGAUUUUCUAGUGGUUGGGGAUGAGCUCGCGGCCUAUCAGCUUGUUGGUGGGGUAAUGGCCUACCAAGGCGGCGACGGGUAGCCGGCCUGAGAGGGUGGACGGCCACAGUGGGACUGAGAUACGGCCCAGACUCCUACGGGAGGCAGCAGUGGGGAAUAUUGCACAAUGGGCGGAAGCCUGAUGCAGCGACGCCGCGUGGGGGAUGACGGCCUUCGGGUUGUAAACUCCUUUCGACCGCGAGGAAGCCACCUGGUUGGAAGGGUGGUGACGGUAGUGGUAGAAGAAGCACCGGCUAACUACGUG
rnacentral:rRNA from 1 species